GGUGGGGGUCAUGUAUCUUUUUGAAUUAUGGUUUUCUCUGGAUGGAUGCCCAGGACUGGGAUUGCUGGAUCAUAUGGUUCUGGAUCAUAUAUGGUUAUCAUAUGGAUCAGAUAGUUCUAGAGAGUCAAAAAUCAACACCAGGGCAUUUUUUUAAACCACAGUGGGAAAAAGAAUGAAGAGGUUACUCAUACCAUGUAUAUCACCUUCUUCAGUGAACAUUUAUUUAUUUCUAUGACUACCCAGCCUCCAGAUUGCUAUAUACAGAGAACAGGGGGCCCGGCAGUGGGGGAAGGGGAAUGAGCUGCAUGAAGAGUGCUGUGAGGUAGAAAGGUAAGCAGGCAGGGUAGUUCAGUUUGGGAGUGUGGUGAUUAUGACCUUUUCAGGGCUCCCCAGAACACUUGCACUUAGACGUGACAAGGGUGAAUAAACGUGGUCCAGCGUUUGCAAGGAGCUUUUUCCUUGCCAGUUACCUGCACAGAGCAUUCUGAUCAUAUCUCUUGUCAUGGUUUUCCCAUUUCAUCUCAUUUGUCUCUUUUCCUAUCCUAUUGGAUUUUCAAGCUUUUCAGUUCUUAGUAUUUUAUUAUGCAGAAAGGAACCCACAAAGAGAAAAGUGCCUCAGGCUCAUGACAGUCAUGAUGAAGCCCUGCUUGUACAAUCCCAUUUGACAACUUCUAAUCUGUUCUAUGAAGUAUUCUCAACAUAGAUUAGAUUUAAUAAUUUGGUUAACUGAUAAGUGAACAUGAGAAGAGGUCAUCACUGGAAUUAGAUAAUCGCUACUGUCCUUACCAACCUGUAAAAAUUCUCCUAACCCUAAAUAUUGGGCUUUGUUCCUGCUUGAGAGAAUGGCCACUGACACUUUUGUCUGUAGCCAAGAACAAAGGACAGUUUAAAGGAGAAGCAAAAUUGCAGAACUUGAAUCCUUCACUCUACUGUGGAUUAAAAUUAUAGAAGGGCUCUGUCUUACAUGAGAUCCUGCUUAUGUUUAGUAACAUUAAUAGAAACAAUUAUAAUUUAAUUAUGAUUAAAUUAAAAUAUACUCAAUGUACAUUGGAUAUAAUGAUUAAUUAAGAAAUAAGUUUAAGAAAAGAAGUCUUAAAACUAUGGGAUGUAGAUUUUUCAUGAUAACACUCUACUCUAUGGAAAAUAUCAACUGUUAGCCUUGGGAGGGCGCAGGCUGCUUCCUUCAGAAAGGAGGGAUGUCCUGACUCCUAGUGAGCCUUUCUAAUGAAGAAAGUUGCAGAAUAAAAGAAACUAAAUAGGAAAAAAAAAGAUAUUAAAACAGGUAUAAUGGACUUAACACAAACUGCAGACAAUGAUUAUGAAAACAAUGAUGUAGAAACAUGAUCAAGAUAUUAAAACAGAAUAUUUUCUAACACUCUAACUCAUGUAAAGGCAGUACUCAUAGGUUAUAUAUUUUCUUUUUUACUUACCUUUUCUUGGUUAUAAUAUCCUUGGGUAUUACACUAAAAAAUUUUUAAAAGCAUUCCAAAACCAAAUCCUAUAUCAUAGUUAACACUAGUUAUAUCAGGUAUAUUUACUUUCAUUAUAUAUAUGUGUGUGUGUGUUUGUAUUUAAAAAUAAAACUUGGAGAUUUCCUGUCAUGGCUCAGUGAUAACAAACAUGACUAGUAUCCAUGAGGUUGCGGGUUCAAUCCCUGGCCUCUCUCAGUAGGUUAAGGAUCCAGCGUUGCCAUGAUGUGUGGUGCAGGUUGCAGAAUCAGCUCAGAUCUGGCUGUGCUGUUGCAGUGGCGUAAGCCAGCAACUACAUCUCCGAUUUGACUCCUAGCCUGCGAACCUCCAUAUGUUGCAGGUGCAGCCCUAUAAAGACAAAAAAUAAAAAAUAAAAUAAAAUUUGGAUCAUAACUUUAUAGUUUUAUGUCCUUCCUUUCUCAAAGAAUCAAAUCAUCUUUAAAAACUUGGUUUUAAGUGGGCCUAUAGAAUUUUGCUGCUGGAUGAAACUUUUCCCCCGUAGCUAAUAAAAAUGUCACUAUCCCUCUUGUGGGAAAGUAGAGUUAGAAGUAACAGAUUCGAUGUUCACAUGGAUGGAUCAUAAAUCCAAAAUCCUGAGUGGGAAAAAAAAGUAGGAAACAGAAUGAGAUGUAUAACAUAAAACCAUUUAUGUGAACAAAACUGUGUGCAUUCAAAACAAUAAUUCAUAUUGUACAAGGGCAUAAAAGCAAAAGGGCACAGCACAAAAGCUCAUUUUAUGAUACAGCUUUGGCCAUAUUGACUAAAGGUGAGCAUAUUAUACAUACUGUGAAUUGCAGUUCCAAUCUUAGGCAUAAACCUUCGGAAACAGGGACAUGAAUUCACCAAAGGUGAACCAGAAGGUUGUUAGCAAUCCUAUUAGCACAAACAAAACCGUAAUCUACCCAGAUGCACAUCAACAAUAGAGUGGAUUAACAAUGAGAUCCUGCUGUGUAGCACUGAGAACUAUGUCUAGAUACUUUAAACGUAGCACGACAAUGGGAGAAAAAAUUUAUGUAUACAUGUAAGUGUGACUGGGUUCCCAUGCUGUACAGUGGGGAAAAAAAAGGUGUUGGGGGAAAUAACAAUAAAAAUAAAUUUAAAAAAAAAGAAUGGACGUGAACAGUGGUUAAGUCACAAAAUGAACUAUUAGACGUUAUAGGAAAUAACAAUCUUCAGUUUACACAAAAACCGGCAUGAUUUAAAAACACAACAUUGAGCGAAAGAAGCCAGACACAUAUAAUUGCAAAUAGUGUGGUGUUGUUUCUGUAACAUACAAAACCAGCAAAAUUAACCUCUUCUCUGAAAGUCAGUAAAAUGUCUCCCACCCCCGCCCCCCACCUGCCCCGAGCUAAUAGUGACCAAAAGGGGGCACGAGAAAGAGAAAGGCUUGUGGGUGCUAGCAACAUCCGCUUUUGGGGGGGGGGACCCCUAGCCUGGGAAUCUCCAUAUGCCUCAGAAAGCAGCCCUAGAAAAGGCAAAAGGACAAAAAAAAAAAAAAAAAA
ensembl:lncRNA